GGCUAAACUUGGGCAUACUCUUGGAGAAUUCUGGUACAAAACUCCUCCCUGGCAAUCAAUCGUGUGAAUCCCAAUCGUCUCUGCGUUUCCUUGUUCUAGGUUAGGGUUUCUUUAUAUACCAAUUUCAUGAUCGUUGAAAUGGAUUUCGUGGCUGUUUUUAUACCUUUCUUCCAUUUCUACCCCCUUCAUCCACCUUUUAUCCUUUAGGGUUCACUCUUUUCGAUGAUGCCAUCAAUGUUAGAGGACUAAGCUGAUUUCAGCGUUCUUAGUUGGUUGUGGUGGUGUUAGGUGGUGGUUGUGAAAGUGACGAAGCAUGUGGAGACUUUGAUUGCCGAUGAGAAGGUCGCUGAAGAAGAUCUUAAGUCGUUUGAGGCUGAUUUUGUCAAAGUUGAUCAGAGUACUCUUUUUUAUCUUAUUCUUAUCAAACACGGCCCCUAUUCUUGAACGGCCAGAGGGAAGUUUGGCCGGUGGAGGAGCGGUUAAUGUGAUUGAAAAGAAACUGAAGCAGAGAGCGAGAAGAGUAGUGGCUAAAAUCGCGGCUGAAAGACAAGGCAUGGAAGCUUUAUGGAGAAGGGAGAUUUCUAGAGCUCAUGGAUCCUAACCUUAAAACACAUCCUGAGGAUGAUGGUGUACAUAAAAGUGGCCUUUUUUGUACUCAAUCAACUGCGAACCAAAGGCCAAUGAUGAGCCAAGAACCUAACGACAACAAAAAGAUGUCUGGUGCUUCCACGAGCCGUCAAGUGUUACUUUGGAUGGAACCAUCAGAAAGAGAAGCAUGAGUCAGGAAAACCGGUAAUAUUAGUCUUAAGUUUUGAUUCAUGAAUCAUUUUAUAAAUUCACUAAAUGUAAAAGUCAAAUGCGGUAGCAAUGGCUAGGUGUGAAAUGAUAGCCAAAAGGUCGAGAUUGAACAUAAAUAACCUGUUAUACUCAAGGAUAAUGUAUCUGAGGGUUAUGUUUAAUUCAUGCAGAUCUAUUAAAAGGCUCUUUCUAUGCAGAUCCAAUAUUAGACAAACCUACUACUGUAGCUGUUUUGAUUCAAACUUAAAAUUCGAGAAACAAUUUUUUGGACCCUAAAAAUUUUAGGAUGAAUCAUUUUUGCUUCUUACACACAUAUAUAAUGCAAUAUAGAUAGAUAUACACACUCUGUCAUCAUGUAGACUCUUAUUUUAUAUUUUCAUUUUCAACCUUUUUUCUUGUGCAAGUCAUCUACAGCCGAUAUAAUAGAGCCCUAAAGAACUAUAAACAGGUCAGUUGGUUUGGUUGACACGUCAAAUCCUGUCAAGCCGUUUCUAAACAAAAGGUUACCAGAGAAAUGAUUUAGGGUGGCUGUUUUGAAAAAGUUAUCAAUUUGGUUUAGCGAAAAGGGGUAAGGGCUUAAGGUAACAAAAAAAAGUUAGGGUCAGAAUGGGUAAUGACAAAAAAGAAUUAGGGUGGCCAUUUUGAAAAAAAAAAUCAAUUGGCUUCGGGUCAAAAUGGACAACGGCAAAAUGGAGUUGGCCUAGACAAAAUGGAGCUAGGGUCCGAAGUUUGUUCAGACGUUUUCUCUUGCUCUUGUUCAGUCAUUUUCUCAUGCUAUUGUUAUGAAUGAUAUUUUUCACUAUGUUAGCGAGGAAGACUUAUCUGGUAUUGCAUCUGCUUUUUACAGUAGCUUCUUUAAUUUAUAAACAUUCAUAAGAAACUGAUAAAUGUGACUUUAAUUCUAGGUGUCAUAUAUGAAAAAGAUGUCACUGAUAUAUUCAAUAUCAAGAGAAACGACAGUGAAACCGUUGAAGACUUCAGGUCCCGGUUCACCAAAGAAACCUCACAGAUCCCACAAGCUAGAGACGAUAUAAAGAUAUCGGCUUUUAUUUAUGGCGUAUGUAACGAUCAACUGGUGAAGAAUCUAAAGCUAAACUACCCAAAAACAUUCAAAGACAUGAUACAUCAUAUUAGAGGUUUUGUUAAGGGAGAGAAGGCGUGUGCGUUACUGAAAGAUGCAGAAAUGCAGAAGCCCGCACGCGCUAUGUGCCCCAAAAAGCGGAAGCGGAAUAGGGGCUCAAGGAGAGCAGCGUCGUCUCGAGGGUCCAGGCGAAACACUUUCUCACCAUACCAUCCUAUGAGACAAGAUCGCUCCUCGCAAAUCAUGGAUGGAACAACCUUGCGAACGAAUGAUUUCCAGGAGGGCCCUCAUGUCGUUACGCUACAAUGCCCGGUCAUCGUCUCGUUCGACGUAAGAGACAUGUCCAUUGGCAGAUAAAAUCAACCAAGCAGUCAAAUUUGUCAUUGCGUUGUCGACUCUGCCAACUGUUCAAGUUCAAAGAAUCUGAUAAUGUGUUCCUCUCGGAAUCAUCUCCUCUGUUAUCUUUUUUUUUCGUUGCCGCCGUUGAAAGCAUUCUGACCAAGCUUUGCCGUAAUUGAUCGUUGGAACGAAUUUUGGGUUUGAAAGUGUGGGUGUUUUCAAAGGUUUAUAUGUGGAAAGAUGAUGAUUGAGUUAUUAUUCUUAUUAAAAGAUUGGGUAGCCCAACUGGUUUUGUAUCUGAUCAUUAUAUAUGAAUCUAAAGGAAUGGGUGUGUUUUACAAAGUUGCUUGCAUGUAAAAAUUUUAGGAGGCUUUUAUGAAUUUUAUUAUGUAUUUCAAGAAGGUUUGUAAUUUGAUUUGAUAUGUGUUGAA